rnacentral:tRNA from 1 species
UGUGGCAGAUUAGUGCAAUGGACUUAAGACCCAUAUAUAAAUUAACCCUUUCAUUAAAA